AAAGUGAAAUAUAUUGCUGUCUUCCACUCCACUGAAGCUUGAGCUGAUAAUCGAAUCUUGACCGUUACCCCUCGCCGGUCGCCACCUUUCUCUAUAAUAAACAGGAGUUAGGAUGCGGUUAUCCGGGGCCAAAAUGAUAACCGCAAUCCCUUCUUUCUCACUACAAAAAGUCCAAAAUUACCCAGUUUUUCAGGCGAACAAUGGCUGCAAAAGCAGAGCUUUAAGAUUCAGGCAGCAAAUUGGAAUUGGUAAUUUGAAGCUGAAAGAAAAGUAUUGUUAUCCAAGUUUUGUAACUUAUGCUUCUAAUAAUUUCUCGCUUUCCGAUGCUCCCUUUCCGACUGAUUAUUAUGAGCUUCUCCGUCAAGCGAAAGAAGCAACUGAAUUAGCGAUGAAGGACAACAUACAAUUGAUGGAGAUUGAGUUCCCAACAUCUGGAUUACAGUCAGUGCCAGGUGAUGGUGAAGGCGGUACAGAAAUGACUGAGAGCAUGCAGUUGAUUCGUGAGUUCUGUGACCGUCUUGUAACUCCAGAAAAAGCUGCUCGGACCAGGAUAUUUUUCCCCGAAGCCAGUGAAGUGAAGUUUGCAAGAAACUCCACUUUUGAGGGUGUCUCAUUAAAGUUAGAUUACCUGACUAAGCCAUCCUUUUUGGAGGAUUUUGGCUUUGGCACAAAAGUCAAAAUGGCAGACCGUGUAAGGCCAGAAGAUGAACUUUUCGUUGUUGCUUACCCAUACUUUAAUGUCAAUGAGAUGCUUGUUGUGGAAGAACUCUAUAAAGAAGCAGUCGCCAACACUUCUAGGAAAUUGAUUGUUUUCAAUGGAGAACUGGACCGAAUAAGAUCUGGAUACUAUCCCUCAUUCUUUUAUCCAAAAUUGGCUGCACUUACCAAGACACUAUUUCCAAAAAUGGAAACUGUGUAUUACAUCCAUAAUUUCAAAGGGCGAAAUGGUGGCACUCUUUUCAGAUGUUAUCCCGGGCUUUGGCAGGUUCUUAAAAGGAUAGGAAACAAGUAUGUUUGUGUAAAUCAGCAAGAAAUUAUGCCGUCCUUGAAGGAAGUUGCCUUGGACAUCCUUCCCUCGGCUUGAUUUUCAUUGGCACUUCUGAUUUUUGAGUCUCUCAUAUCAUGUUGGUCUUCUGAACAUAAAAACCCAGUUAGGCUUGUUCCUUUACUUUGUUUGGAAAGAGAAGGGGACGAAAGUAAGAGGAGAGAAGUCCAGGAUUGCAUUGUCCUUCCAAAACUUUCCAAUGAAGGCGGUCAAGUCAUUGCAUUUUCCUUCCAAAACUUUCCAAUGAAGGUGGUCAAGUCUUUAAUUCCCUUAGUUGUAUCCGAAUGAGCAGAAUGAAUUUCCCCUUUUUCUUUUCUCUUUAUUUCCCUCUAAAUCCCUCUAUAUUAUGGUGUUGUUUGGUUGGAAUCUAUUUUCCUUGGAAAUACAAAUUCCUAGGGAAUACAUUAUGGGUGUUGUGUUUGGUUGGAGGGAAAUGAGAGAAACAUAGGAAAUACAAAUUCCAAGGGAAAUAGAAUUUCCCAUAAAACAUGGGAAAUCACUCACCAAGCUCCCCCUUGGUGAGUAAUUUCCUAGGAAAUGCAAUUUCCUAUGGUGGCAAUCAAACAAUUUUGUCUAAUUACUAGGAAAUUAACAUGGGAAAGAAUUUCCCAUGAAAUGUAAAUUCCCAUGAAAAAUUACUUCCCAUGUGAACCAAACGAGGCCUAUGUUGCACUUGUAAAAUUUGAGUCUCGCAUAUUAUGUUGGUCUUUUGAACGUAAGAACCGAGGUAUAUAUAAAAAAAUUACUCAAUAUUUUCAACUUCAAA